UUUUAUUUAAGAAGUUCAAUU
rnacentral:piRNA from 1 species